rnacentral:lncRNA from 1 species
UGGGGAUCCCAAGGGGAUGAACACAGUGGCCUAUCAUGUGUUGAAAAAACAAACAGAUGACAGGGCUCCGCAGUAAUCAAGCAAACACGGCUUCCGAGAAGCAGUGUGAUCAUCAUUGUUCGGUGCAGUGGGACCUAGGAGGAAGAUAAUUAUUGGGGGAAGGAAGGUGGCCUUGGGACUGCAGUGAGGGAAGCCGCCGUGAGCUCCUGCCAGCUGCGAGCAGCCCAUGCCCUGCUUGCAGCGAAGGUGUGACACAUACACAAGGCUUGGCAGAGCAGCCUCAUUGAGGAGUGAUUAACACACCAGAGGUGGUGGGUGUCAGUAUUUCCUGACUGCAGUGGUACAUCAUCUUCCCAUGUCUAGAAACCCAAUGCAAAUAGGGUGGUGUGGCUCACGUUGCAUCCACAAGCCCCACGCAGGCCCUUGAAAAGGCAAAGGGGGCUAAACCCAAACCUCCAUCCCUUUGGCCACCUCUCCCUAAUUAUUUGUCAGCAGAAAGCUCAAAAUGUAUUUUUUCUUCAUUUAUUUUUUUUUUUAAUUUAUUUUUCCCAGAAGGCUGUGUUGUGUCCCGUGGUGGCCUGUUCAUAUGCUGAGUUGGAGCUCUGUUUGGCACCGUCCUUUGGUCUAAUCACAUUUUGCUGCAAUAUCAGGUAUUGAAGAUGAUAUACUGCCAUAAUCUUAGAUUAUGAUGAAGCUGCACUUUCACUUUUGCCAGUAUCACUUGCUGCACUCAUUCAGCUGCAGAGAGACUCUGCUGGAAGGAAAGACCAUGUCCAGGGUCCCUCAUCCCUGUGCCAGGAUGCACAGGAGGGCUUCCAGAUUCCUUUUUAUUUGUGAGUUGUUCAAAUCCAGACUCUUCCAAAUCAAGCUCCUGACACCAUUUAUAUCUGUAUGAGAAGAGUGGAUGUGCCAAAACAAUAAAAAGACGUUGUAAGUUUUUUAUUCA